ACAGAAGAAGUAAAAUUGCCACAAAGUGAAUUGCUUGCCUAGCAUGCUGCAGGAAAAUCUCUAAUGUAAAAUUGUGGCUUAUGAAUGAUUAUUUGUCGCUGAACUCCAGGACACUGCCCUGUGGAAACGACGGACAUCUAAACUUGUUUGCUGCUGCUUUAGGAUUCGCUGACUGUUAACGCGACGGCACCUCUGCUGCUUCUUAAAGGUCACGCUGUCACAUAAUUCUGUUGCAGAGCCUCCCACACCGAAGGAACAACAUAGCACAUAUAUGUUUGAUACAAUCUGCAGUUUCAUAUACCUGAAGAAUACCUUGGAAUAUAUCCCCUGAAUUU
rnacentral:lncRNA from 1 species